rnacentral:rRNA from 1 species
CAGUAGCCGCGGGAAUACGUAGGUGGCAAGCGUUGUCCGGAAUUAUUGGGCGUAAAGGGCUCGCAGGCGGUUUCUUAAGUCUGAUGCGAAAGCCCCCGGCUCAACCGGGGAGGGUCAUUGGAAACUGGGAAACUUGAGUGCAGAAAAGGAGAGUGGAAUUCCACGUGAAGCGGUGAAAUGCGUAGAGAUGUGGAGGAACACCAGUGGCGAAGGCGACUCUCUGGUCUGUAACUGACGCUGAGGAGCGAAAGCGUGGGGAGCGAACAGGAUUAGAGACCCCAGUAGUCCCUGUCUCUUAUAC